rnacentral:rRNA from 1 species
GGACGCAGUCUUUCGGGACUGAGCGGCGCACGGGUGAGUAGCGCGUGGGAACCUGCCCUGUUGUGGGGGAUAACCGAGGGAAACUUCGGCUAAUACCGCAUAUGCCCGGAGUGAUUUUCGGAUCACGCCGGGGUAAAGAUUUAUCGCGACAGGAGGGGCCCGCGUCGGAUUAGCUGGUUGGUGGGGUAAUGGCCUACCAAGGCGAUGAUCCGUAGCUGGUCUGAGAGGAUGAUCAGCCACACUGGGACUGAGACACGGCCCAUACUCCUACGGGAGGCAGCAGUGGGGAAUAUUGGACAAUGGGGGCAACCCUGAUCCAGCAAUGCCGCGUGAGUGAUGAAGGCCUUAGGGUUGUAAAGCUCUUUCGCCCGCGACGAUGAUGACGGUAGCGGGAGAAGAAGCCCCGGCUAACUUCGUGCCAGCAGCCGCGGUAUA